rnacentral:lncRNA from 1 species
CGAUAGGUCUCUAGACGUUACAGAGAACCCCGAACAACCCAAACUGUUAAUCUUCAAUACCCCUUUGUACUUACGAUCUUAUAUCCACUGACUGUCCUGUUAGAUUAACCCAAUAAAUUUCAUUCACUCCGCAUACUCAAUCCUAUAGACACCCCUUUAAUCCUUCAAUCACAGACGUAACUCGAUUUUACAAAACAGUCAAGAGUAUUCAAACCCACUUCAUUUAAAAAUCUCGAUUCACCAUUACAAUACUGACUCCAGCAGUGAUUGCCUCAGUCUUCCCAAAACUCUACGAAGAAGAAAAAUCCAAAUUCUAUGUCUUUCCUUCCCCGAUCCGAAGCAUGAAGCUCCUUUCUCUAAUUUCCCUGAUCUUCAAAAACCUCCAAUGAAAACCGAACUGGUAACCUUGCAAAAGCUUGAAAACUAGCUCCCCCCUAGAUUCCCUUGAAAAAAAAAACCCCCCCCAAAACUAUAUCCUACCUAACCUUAUCCUCUGAAUUUCUUCAAUCUUCCGUCUUAGAUCCGAAAUUGGCUCCCACCUCAAGCUUGGAUCCGAAAUUGGCUCUCGCCGUCAAGCUUUCUCCUCCGUUUUUGCCUUUAAGAAUCCAUUUACCGAAAACAACGUUCCCUGAGACGGCACAGAGAACAGGACAGCCUGAAACAGAAUCGAACCCCGUAAUCGGGACCACAUUGAGUCGCCCGACCAAUUCAGGUCCUAUAUUGGUAAAGAUGCCCGUAGUAACCUGGAUGUUCCCGUAAUUGGGUCAAAUUGGUCCUCGCGUCAGAUUGGCUAAGACCCGUAGUAAGACCUGGAUUUCCCGUAACUAGACUGCAUUGGGUUGCCCUACCAAUACAGGUCUCAUAUGGGGUAAGAGGACCUGGAUUGGAUUAUCAAAAUUGGAUCCAAUUGGCUCCUCGAACCCGUCGUGUGAAUUGGUCCUUCUCUUCCUGCUGACUCCCGUUAUUGGAAUCGAAUGGAGCAUUCCAGUAUGCCCCGGCUGACUAUAACGGAGUCACUGAACCUGACCACUCAGUAUUUGUACUGGAGUUGGUCGAUGCUCCCAAUAUUCGAGGUAACUGAAUAUUAAUAAAAUUCCCCUUUCUUUUUAUUUUCACUGUAUACUCGUGUUACAACACGACAUCCACCCCCUUUGAACCUGUGCAUCCUCCGGUAUGCACCAAUUUAUCCAAUUGCUGUUUGAUUCAGAAUAUAUCCCCUACCUCUUUGUCCAGUUCGUCUUCGUCACCUUCAUUAUCCAUAUCACUUUCAUCUUCUUGCUGCGAAAUCUCUGUACCUUCAUUAAGGUCUUCCAUAUUCAUCUCUGCGUGUCUUCGUUUAAAUAUUUUUACUCUCUUCCCUGCAAUUGGUAUUUUCAAUUUUGUACCAUCUAACUCCCGUAAUGAGUAAGUCGCAUUAUCAUGAACAGUUGUUACAACAUAUGGUCCAAACCAACGUUUUGAAAAUUUCCGCAAAGUACUAUGUUGAUUAUCCAGACUAUUGUCAUAAACAAGUACCCAGUCACCUUCCUCGAUUGCUUUUGGUCUCAAUCGAUGUUGCUUAUCGAAUCGCGCCUUGUUUUGUAACCUUGCUCUUUUUAACCUUUCCAAUGCUAUCUGGACAUCUUCCGUUCUUUGCUCCAAUUGUCGAAUCCUAAUAGCCAGAAGUUCUUCUCUUGUCAAUCCAUCUUCCCAUGGUAGCAUACUCCAAGUAAGUACCUUUUCUUCAAUCGGCAUAAUUGGUUUUUGACCUGUCAUAAGUUCUACUGGGUAAUAUCCUGUCACCGAACUAUGUGUUGUUCGAUCAGCCCAUAAUGCAAAUGACAAAAGCCGUGGCCACUCUUUAACCUUCCCAUUACAAGCUUUAACCAAUGCUUUCACAAUCGGCGGGUGACCGCGUUCGCUUUUCACAUUCCCUUCCGGAUUAUAAGCAGUAGUCAGUGAUAGUUUAACUCCACAUCUUUCAAAGAACUUACGAGCUUCUUGUGCAUUUAAUUCUCCACGAUCUGUAGUGAUUUUUCCUACGCACCCGUAACGGCAAAUGACAUCUUCAAGCAAAAACCUACAAAUUUCUUCUAUAGAUUUUGUCCUCAAUGCUCUUCCUUCUACUUGAUUUGAUAAAUCUUCGCGAGCUAAAACCAAAUAUCUCAUCUGCCAUAACCCAACCGGCAUAAUAACCAAAUCAACAACCCAUUUAAAAUGAAUAGCCAGAGGAUACGUAGGAUGAAGACCAUCUCGAUGUCGGAUAUUAGAAUACGAUUGACAGAUUUCACAUGACUCUACAAAUGAGAGCACAUCUCGAUACAUAUUUUUCCACCAAUAUCGUUCCUUGAGUUUAGCAAAAGUAGCCCAGAUUCCUCUAUGCCCUGCCCAUAAACUAUCAUGAAACUCCUUUAAUAAUUUUAGUUUUUCUUCUUUUUUACCUAUCACUCGUUGUGGCAUCCCAAUUCCUUUCUUCGGUCUCUUCCAUAAGAAUCCAUCUCAAAGUAAAAAUCUAUAUGCUUUUUUUCUUAUUUGUUUGAAUUUUUCUGUAGACCAAUUCUCCUGCUUAGACAAGGUAUUCAAAUAAUGACCAAUAUCCAAUAAUUCUCCUUCAUAAGAUUCUUCAAGAAAUAGCUUGUCUUCUCUGUUGAGAUUUGAUAUUGAAUAGAAUUUCAAUCCGACAUCAUCAAUGUCUUCAACCAUUUCGUCCUCCCUCUCGUAUCUUGCUCGAGAUAGCAUGUCUGCUACUAAAUUGUCCUUUCCAGUGGUAUGCUUAAAUUCUGGAUUUAGUGACUUAAUAUAAGCAAUCCAUCUCAACAUUGCAAUAUCUGGCGUUGAACAGUUAAUAAUCAUUCAAAGCAAUGGCAAGCAAUCUAUUUCAAUUACUACUACUGCCCCAAUCAAAUAGUCCUUUUCAGCUUUCAUAGCCGAAACGACUCCCCAAAGUUCUCUUUUGACUUGCGAAUAUGCACGUUGACGAAUACUUAAAACUUUAGCCCCAAAUCGAACUGCAAAUCUACUCCCAUUCGAAUCAUCUUGACCCACCGCCCAUCCAACGCCAAUUGGACUAGCGUCUAGAGUAAGAAUCACUGGUUUAUUGCACUUAUAAUCAACCUUCCUCAAUAUUGGAGGUGACAUCAAUAAUUUCUUCAAUCUUUGCAUUGCCUGAAUAUGCCUUUCUUUCCAUUCAAAUCGGUAAUCCUUGCGUAAUAGUUCAUAUAAUGGAUCCGCUAUGUGAGCAAAAUGAGGGAUCCAGAUUCGAUAAAAUACACAUGCACCCAAAAACCUGCGAACCUCUGUUAAAGAACCACAAUCGUCUUUCAUCCUUCUAAUUGCAUCAACUUUAGUCGGAUCUGGUUAUCUUCCGUAAGAUCCGCAUAAAUGUCCAACAAUUACAAUCUCUCGCACUCCAAAUACGGACUUCAUACUCGAUAAUGUAAGAUGAACUUCUCCAAGCCGAGUUAAAAUCUUUUCACAAUCUUGUAUAUGAUCAACAACAUAUCUGCGACACCCCCUCGUAUCUAAAGUUUCAUCCUUGUCUCCUUCUCUGCACCCUUUUAUAGGAACAUCAUCCAGAAAAGGCAUAGUCUUUUCCGGAAUAAAAUCUCUCAAUACCUUAUUCAUCCCAUUCAUCAUAUGCGCAACUGAGUUGGUCGCGCCUUGAGAAAGAGUGCACAUUCUAACCAAUCCAAGCGGUGUCCUCAUCGUUGUCAUAUCUCUACUUCCUUCCGCAAGUUGAAAUUGAUCAUAACCUGAAUACAAAUCACCCAUUGAAUAGAUCGCCCUUCCAGCAAACGCCUCAGCAAAGUCAUCCACAAUAGGUCCAAUUCCUGCAUUCCUGACAGUUAAAGCAUUCACCGGCUGCAUAUCUUGAAUAAAUCGUAGUGAUCCAUUCUUCUUAGGUACCGUAAACCAUCGACUAGAAUACGGCGUAAAUGAAGGUUCUAAUAUUUUCAUCUUUAUCUUUUCUUUCAAUAGUUCGACCAAUUUAGGUAAAUGUGCCCUUGGUACUGGAAUCGGUCUUAGAUUCCAAGGUACAUGCGGUACAGUGAAGAUAACUAUAGGUGUUAUAAUAUUUGGAUCCACACACCCAAUUUCAUGAGAUUCGAAGGCAAACAAUCUAUCUUGUUUAGCCAACAUCUUUUUGAAGCAAGUAAUUUCCUCCGGCAAUAAAGAACCAUCAGAACCAAUCUUCAAUUCUUCAAAAGUCUCUUCAGUAAACUGAUGUCCAAUACUCAUUGAAUCUCUUAAACUUGCUUCUUUUGAUGCUUCUCCCAUUUGUUCUUUAGAAUCCUCUGGUAAUGGUCCGGCAACAGGCUUUACCUUCUUAUCUGCCGUUUUAUAUUUCGUCUCUACUGUGACUUCUGGUGCUUGAAAAGAUUCAAGUAUGGUAUAAACCUCUCUCGAAUGAAUCUCAACAAUCUUAUCAUUAUCCCCUAACCCAAUAGAUGUAAUCAAUUCCAAUGAAUCUUCUAGCCCAUUUUCUUCAUAAACACCCAAAAUCCUCUCAUCAUCUUGCAAUGUACCUAUCUUGCGUAAUUGUCCUUCAAUAUCAUAUAAUCUUUUUCUUUCUUUUCUUUUAAAAUCAUCAACUUUCUUAUACAUAUUAUUUCCAUUCUCCAAUAUACCAAUAAAACUCGCAUCAAAGGCACCUUCAUCUCGCGAGAGUACCUCCUCUUUUGUACCUCCAUAAUCUCGCUUUACAGUGGUACCUCCCCAAAAUCCUUAAAUCCUUCAACAAUCUUUGGCAAUGGUUUCUCCCUCAACCUAUCUCGAUUCCGUUCAUGGUUAGGAGGUACUGUUAGAAAUUGUACAGCUUUCCUCCCAUCUUCGCUCUGUACCCUUGCAUAAGCAGAACCAUCGUCAAGUACCUUUGUUUCCAUCCGUGUUGCCGUGAUAUAAGGUUGUCCUAAAAUCAACGGAUAAGACGUUGUAUCUUGAACGAAGAAAUGUUGCUCCGUCGCAACAUCCCCAAUCCGAAUUUUGACAUCUGGACAAGCUCCAUAUAAUUCGCCUCGUGUGUUAUUAGCUGCUCGUAUUGUCCAUCCAUGUUUCAUAUCAAUUGGCCAUUUUUGCUUCUUAUAAAGAUCUUUAGACAUGAGAUUUAUUUCAGAACCAUGGUCCACCAAAGCAACUACUGGUUCUUCUAUAUCUCCUACCUUCACCAAUACCUCAGUAGUUGCCCUUGUCCAAUGCUUUCGAGUAUAAUGGCUCAAAGUUUCCAUUUCCUUGUCACUAGAAUCUUCGAAACGUACUCGCUGAUUAUACCCAUUCUUUUCAUUUGUUGGUUGCUUGUAACCAAUAUCAACCUCUUCUUCAUCUCUACAUAUUCUUGCAUCAAUAGCAUGACUCAUUCCAGUUUCGCUCAUUAAUUGCCUCUUUCGCUUAAUGCUGUCAAUGAUAACAUCAUGAAACUCCUUCUUUGCAAUUCCUAAGACUUCUUUCAAUGUGAAUUCCACCUUAGCGUUUAAUAUACGUUCUUCCAACACCCCUUUCAAAUUUGUUGCCGCUUCAAUGUCAGAAAGUAGCUUAUAAGCAAUUGAUUUGCCCUUAUCUUUUGUCUCCGUUGUUUUUUCUCCCAAUGAUGCUGAGGUAUCCUUUACAGGCAAUUCUUGUGAAGCUGCCUCCCGAGCCUUGUCUCCUCGAGUUUGCCUCUUAAAAGAAUUUCCUUCUCUAAUAUCAUCAAAAUUUCCUCGUCUUUUUUCUUCCAUCAAAGCUUCAUGUUGGCUCUUAGCAAUAUAUGCAUGAACUGAAAGAGACUCAACAUGAUCCUCCCAACCUGUUCUUCCUCGUAUUGUAGCUGCAGUUCUCAAUAACGCUUCUCGAGGUAAUUUCCCUUCUUGCAUUGUAGAAACGGCAGAAGCCCAAAACUCACUAGUUUCCGUACUUCCACCAAUUUCAUCAUCUACUCUAGCACCAUAACUUGCACUUUCUCGUACUACUGUUUCAUGCUCUUUUAAGUAAUCUUGAACCAAUGCACUCAUUCCUCCUUUGCCAAAAUUGGUUUGAAGAAGAUCCUCCCUAUCUUUCAAUGCUAUCUUCCCAUCUUUCCAGCAAAUAAUUCCCUGCCGUAUCAUAUUAUUAAAUUCAUUGCAAUCUUUUCUAGUGUGUGAAGCAUCAUCACACCAAAUACAUCUUUGUACAUAUCCUUGUUUUGAAACAUUCUUCGAAUUGUUUAUAGAAGUAUUCUCUUCAAGUCUUGCCAAUUUGAUUUGAAGAUCUCGCAUUCCUCGUAUAAUUUCUUCCAUACCCAUAUCUGCUUUCUUUGACAAGGAUGUCGAAGGUUGAACUGUAGGCAUUGUCGGUGGUGUUGUACGUACUGGAGCUUUGGGUGCUUGUACUGUUUUCGGAAUAUUACUCCUAUCCUUCCUCCUUUCUUUUUUUGUAAGCAACCCCACCGCAUCUUCAACGUUCUUCCACUUCGUUGUCAAUCCUUCAUCUUCUUCUUUGUCUUCAAGAAGGGGUUCUGAUUUCUCUUGCAAUUCUCCAUCAACAGCUUGAAGAAAUAGAUCAACUUUGUUCGGCUCCAAUGUCAAUUUUUCUACCUUCGAUAAUUGAGAGUACUGCCUCUCAAAUUCCCUUAGUAGCUCUGUUGCUUGCAAAUUCUUAUUGGGCCGUUCAAUCCAUCCCAGAAACAGCUUCUUAGUAACGCGAUCAGCAUCUUUCAAGAAAUAUUCGUCUUUCAAUGCAUGUAAAAAAUCCUCCCAUGAAUUCCCACAACGAUCCGUAAUCGAUGUAAUGUGGUCCCUUAUCUCCGGUAUCAUGGCAAGUCCAAAUAGUGCAACCAUUUUUUUCUCAGAAACCCGAUUUAAUUCCAUUUCACGAACAUAACAUCUUAAAUACCUUGAAAUAUUCCUCCCAUCAAAUUGAUCAAUUUUAUUGACCACUGCUUGUAAUGCUUUGGUUGCCAAAGCUUCCUUUCGAUCAUUGCUUUGCUGUUGCUGCAUUGACAAUGAGAAGGCUUGAAACAAACUAGCAAUAGACGGAUCCAUGUGCAUACCUUGUCCUUUAGAAGACUCCCCACCAGAAACUUCUCCCAAAAAUCCUUCAAAAUUUUUAUUUUCGAUUUCCAUAAAAAUAAAGAUAAAAUCAACCGAAAUCCAAUACCUUCCACCUCAAGCUUUCAUGUCGGGUUCACCACUUAUGUCGUAUUACGUGCUUUCCUACUCGAGAACGCGCCGGGCGUCUGGCUAUAGAAGGUAGUAUGGAGAUUCGCCGAUAGUCACGCAGUCUAUCAGUUUUUGACUGCUGGAAUAUAAACGAUUGCAACAAUGUACAGUAAAUCUAUACGGAUGCUUUUCGACUGCUUGUCGAAGUCCUUUUUAUCCCAGCCGAUAGGUCUCUAGACGUUACAGAGAACCCCGAACAACCCAAACUGUUAAUCUUCAAUACCCCUUUGUACUUACGAUCUUAUAUCCACUGACUGUCCUGUUAGAUUAACCCAAUAAAUUUCAUUCACUCCGCAUACUCAAUCCUAUAGACACCCCUUUAAUCCUUCAAUCACAGACGUAACUCGAUUUUACAAAACAGUCAAGAGUAUUCAAACCCACUUCAUUUAAAAAUCCCGAUUCACCAUUACAAUACUGACUCCAGCAGUGAUUGCCUCAGUCUUCCCAAAACUCUACGAAGAAGAAAAAUCCAAAUUCUAUGUCUUUCCUUCCCCGAUCCAAAGCAUGAAGCUCCUUUCUCUUAUUCCCUUGAUCUUCAAAAACCUCCAAUGAAAACCGAACUGGUAACCUUGCAAAAGCUUGAAAACUAGCUCCC